UUAUGCCGUUGGUGAACACACCAAACAGCAAGGUUUCCACACUUUUCAAGCAAGUGCAAGCUCCCAGAAUUUUAAAGAAACGAGUGAAAGGCAAGAGAGAAUAGAGAGGAAAAUUCAGAGAAGAAGAAGAAACUAAGUCCAGAAUUUAUAUAUCCCCUCAAAUACAACCAUGGAAAUACUUAUAGCAGCAAGAAUAUGCUCACAGCUGUCAAAACUAAAUAACAACCUCUCUCUAUAACAAGAAUUAUUCUCUAAAUGGCUAAGGCCGUUAGAAACCGAGUCCUCUGCUCAUAUAUGCUCAGUGUGUGUAAUCCUUGAACCAUUUGGGAGGCUUCCUUACGCGACUUGGCUUGAUGUUAUCUUGGGGUCGGUUUUGGAAAGCCUCACUUGAGUUUGCCUGGGCCUUUUCCUCGCUAUUGAUAGAGCUAGUUGGGCUUGUCUAACUGUAAUAUUGGGGUUGUAUCACCCUCCACUCCUUGAGGAAUCACCUUGUCCUCAAGGUGAAAAUUCGGGUACUGCUUAGUGAAUUCGGAAAGAGCUUCCCAUGUUGCAUUCUCAGGAGCACAAUCCUGCCACUGCACUAAAAUUUGGGAUUGUGGGCUGCCAUGAACCAACACUUGACGUUGAGCACAAAUAGCAAUGGGAACAGACAUAGGCUGGUUAUUGUAAGACUCGCUAGGUAAUGAGUGAACUUGUGAGGUAUCCUGACCAUGAAACGGCUUGAGAAGGGAGAUGUGAAAGACUGGAUGAAUCUUAGAAUCAUGAGGUAAAUCCAAGCGAUAGGCCACAGCGCCAAUACGCUCCAUUACUCGAAAAGGACCAUAGUAUCGCUUUGCUAGCUUGUUGGAUAAUCUGUUUGCAACUGAUAUUUGCCGAUAAGGCUGCAACUUAACCAAAACUUGAUCCCCGACCUGAAGCUCUAGCUCACGGCGAUGAGCAUUAGCCUUUUGCUGCAUUCUAUGUUGAGCUGCUCGCAAGUUGGUUUUCAAGGCUGUUAGGAGGGCAUCACGUUCCAGCAGCAAUUCAUCAAGUGCUUGGAUUGAAGUAGAGCUCCCGGUAUAUGAAGGAAUUACAGGUGGCUCACGACCAUACAAGGCCUUAAAAGGAGACAUUUGGAUGCUUGUAUGAAAGCUAGUGUUGUAAGAAAACUCAGCCCAGCCUAAAUAAUCAAACCAUAAUGUCGGUUUCGCUUGUGUGAAUACUCGCAAAUACUGCUCGAGUCCUCGAUUAACAACCUCCGACUGGCCAUCCGUUUGAGGAUGAUAUGCUGUACUAUGCUUCAAUGUGGUACCACUUAACUCAAAGAGUUUCUUCCAAAAGCUACUAAGAAAGAUAGAGUCACGAUCUGAAAUUAUUGUACGGGGAAAACCAUGGUGCUUAACAACCAUAUCAGUGAAUAAAACGGCUGUUUUGCUUGCUGUAAAGUGUGUGGGUAAAGCACCAAAAUGAGCUGAUUUUGUCAAUCGGUCAACAACGACUAAGAUAACAGUGAACCCAUGGGAAGAUGGUAAACCUGUGAUGAAGUCCAUGGUAACUUCUUCCCAAACUAGUGAAGGUAUAGGCAAGGGUUGAAGGAGUCCAGCUGGUGCCUGAGUAGAGUAUUUUGUUUGCUGACAUAAUAAACAAGAGGCAACAAAUAACGCCACAUCCUUGCGCAUAUUUGGCCAAUAAAAGAGAGUGGAUAGACGAACUAAUGUCCGCUUGACUCCCGCAUGACCUGCAACUGGUGUGGCAUGAAAUUCUUGUAAUAAAGAAGGCUUCAAAACAGAGUGAGAGCUGAUGAAGAAUCUGUUUUUGAACCGUAGGAUUCCAUCCGAGACAGAAUAAGGAUACAUUAAAGAACCAGUGGAAUAUUUCUGAUGGAGAGCUAAGAGAUCCGGUAAGGACUGAUUUUCCGCACGAAGAAUAGAGAGGAAUUCAGGAAUAGGACAGCUAGCGAGUAACAGAGUAGCAGUAGAAUGGCCAUAUAAUAUAGGGACAUCAACUUCAUGUACCCAGGAUAAGGCAUCAGCUGCACUAUUAGUUCGACCCGGCUUAUAUUCAACCCUGAAAUGAUACCCCAAUAAUUUACGAACAUAAAAUUGUUGCUCUGGAGUUUGGAUAACCUGCUGAAGGAGCUCUCGAAUACUUUUCUGGUCAGUUCGGAUAAUAAAGAAAUGGCCUAACAAGUAUUGUCUCCACUUAUGUACUGCUUCGGCAAUGGCAUGAAGUUCUUUGAUAUAAGUAGAAGCGACAAGCAUGCGAGGACCCAAUUUUCGGCUAAAAUAAGCAAUAGGAUGAUCAGCUUGCAUCAGUACGGCUCCAAUACCAACAUUCGAGGCAUCCGUUUCAAUAACAAAAUCCAAUUGAAAAUCUGGCAAGCGAAGGACUGGUGCUGCACUCAUAGCUUGUUUUAAGGCAGCGAAGGCCGUGUCAGCUGCGGAGGACCAAUGGAAACCAUCCUUCCGUAAUAAAUCUGUGAGAGGGGCAGCAAUGGAAGCAUAUCCUUUAAUAAAGCGACGAUAGUAGCCUGUGAGACCCAAGAAUCCUCGCAAUUGUUUUGUCGUAGACGGCGUAGGCCAAUUAGACAUGACCACCAACUUGCGAGGAUCAGCCUUAACUCCAGAAGAGGAAACAAUAUGGCCGAGAUAUUCAAUGUUAUCUUGGCAAAAAAAAACACUUUGAGAGCUUCACAAAAAAAUGAUUAGUAUGAAGACAAUCAAAUACUCUAUGUAAAUGCUCAAAAUGGUCUUCUAGAGAAGUGCUGUACACUAAGAUAUCGUCAAAGAAAACGAUCACAAACUUACGGAGAUAAGGAGCAAAGAGCCUAUUCAUUGUUGCUUGAAAGGUGGAAGGGGCAUUAGAGAGUCCAAAAGGCAUGACAAGGAACUCAAAAUGCCCAUCAUGAGUCCGAAAAGCUGUUUUAUAAAUAUCUCUAUCACAUACUCGUAUUUGAUGGUACCCCGCUCGCAAAUCUAGCUUACUGAAAAUACAAGCACCACCAAGCUCGUCUAAUAACUCAUCAAUAGUUGGUAUCGGAAAUUUGUCUUUAAUUGUUACUGCGUUCAAGGCUCGGUAAUCUACACAAAAACGAUAGGAGCCAUCUUUCUUUUUAACCAGCAACACAGGUGAAGAGAAUGGGCUCUGACUUGGGCGAAUAAUGCCUUGAUCAAUCAUUUCUGUAAUUAGUCUCUCCAUUUCGGCCUUUUGGAAGUGAGGAUAACGGUAUGGGCGAACAUUGACAGGUUUAGUAUUUGGGAGGAGAUGAAUGUGAUGGUCAAUAAGUCUAUGAGGAGGUAGAGAAGAUGGAGUGUGAAAUAAUUGCUCAUAUUGAUGAAGAAGGGCAAGUACAUGGGAAGGCAAAUCGGGUGGGAAGUCAAACUUAGUAGUAGUGGUUGGAACAGAGAGGGUAUCCUGCGCGUCUGUAGUAGUAUGCAACUGGAAAAAUUCAAAGAGGCCGUGGAUUUGAUUAUGGGACAUGAGGGCUUGUAAUUGAUGAAAAGAAAUCGGUCGUGGAGACAAUGAGAGAUCACCUCGCAGGAAGACAGGAGAGCCAUUAUAGAAAAAUUCCAUUGACAAUGCCGCAUAGUCAUGAGAGACUUUGCCAAGUAGCUGUAACCAUUGAAUUCCGAGGACAAUAUCCGGUCCCUCAAUAGGAAGAACAUAGAGGUCGAUGUAGAAAACAUGGCCUUGCAUAGAUAAGGCGACUUGGGAACAAACAUAUCGACAAACUAAAGAAUCACCAUUACCGAUAUAUACCCGGAAUGUGGUAGUGUCUUGUACUGCUAACCCCAAAACUUCAGCCACAGCGGGUUUAAUAAAAUUAUGAGUGCUACCACUAUCGAUAAGUACUUGCACGGGCUGUUGAUUAAUUUCACCAAGGAGUCGUAGAGAGCGAGGAGUAUUUUGGCCCGCUAAGGCAUUUAAACUGGAGAUAUCACCAGCUAUAAUAGUUUCCUCAACAACAUCUGAGAUCUCAGAAUUAAUUGGUGGACCCAUCGCCUCGUCAACAUCCUCUGUUCCUAAAAGAAGCAGAAACUUACUACGGCAUCUAUGAGAGUUGCUCCACUUCUGGUCGCAAUUGUAGCAGAGCCCUUUCUCCCUUUUUUCACGAAGUUCUUGAGGAGAAAGACGCUUAAUAGGGAGAGAUGGCGUUGGUAAAAGUGGGGGUAAAGUGGACGGGGCAGGUUGAGGUGGGUUGAGGGCAGGGGCACUUGCAGGACUGUGAUUGGUUGUAGUAGGGUGAAAGGAUGAUGUGGUGGUUUUGUGGGUCCACUUAGACCAAGGUCUGGACGUAACUUUACUCUCAUCUCCACGUGCUUCAAACAUACGAGCCAGUGCAAAUGCCUCCAUCAACGAGGAAGGUCGUGACAGCAACAGCUCGCGACGAAUAUCCACUCGCAACCCCGUGAUAAAAAAUGAGAUAAGAAGAGGCUCGGAAAUACCAGUGACUCUAUUCAUGAGGUCCUCAAACUCAGUUUGAAAUUCUGCCACACUUGAUUUCUGAGUAAGUUUGGAUAGAUUGCCUUGGUGGUCCUCGUACAGGGAAGCUCCGAAAUGAAACUUCAGAUUUUGAAGAAAAUCCUUCCAACUGGUAAGAAGAUCAUUCGCCUUCAUCCAUUGGUACCAAGCCGAAGCGCGACCUUCCAAAUGAAAAGACACGAUGCGGAGACGAAGAGCGUCGGAUGUGCCAUGGAAAUCGAAAUACUCAUUGAUGCGAAAAGCCCAACCGUUUGGGUCAGUUCCAUCAAAUUUUGGGACCUCGAGUUUCAUUGUUCGCAAGAGAGGAUUGGAGUCAUGGGUGCCCGAUGAACCAUCAGAUAUCUGUGAAAACAGGGGUGGAUUCGAAGGUCCAGUUGUUGGACCCGAAGGUAACCCCUUGAUCUGAGAACGCAAGUCCUCCAAGCGAGAAUCCACGGUAAGCAUGUAUUGUUGCAGCGUGUGAUGAACUGCGACCGUUUGGCUAUCAAGUUUUGUUUGUAAAGCUUUAAUGGCAUCUAGAAUCUCCGAAUCAGCCAUGAUGAGUAAAUAGCAAUGAAAGCACCAAUGUUAUGCCGUUGGUGAACACACCAAACAGCAAGGUUUCCACACUUUUCAAGCAAGUGCAAGCUCCCAGAAUUUUAAAGAAACGAGUGAAAGGCAAGAGAGAAUAGAGAGGAAAAUUCAGAGAAGAAGAAGAAACUAAGUCCAGAAUUUAUAUAUCCCCUCAAAUACAACCAUGGAAAUACUUAUAGCAGCAAGAAUAUGCUCACAGCUGUCAAAACUAAAUAACAACCUCUCUCUAUAACAAGAAUUAUUCUCUAAAUGGCUAAGGCCGUUAGAAACCGAGUCCUCUGCUCAUAUAUGCUCAGUGUGUGUAAUCCUUGAACCAUUUGGGAGGCUUCCUUACG
rnacentral:lncRNA from 1 species